rnacentral:rRNA from 1 species
UUUGGGCGGCCUACACAUGCAAGUCGAACGGUAACAGGAAGCAAGCUUGCUGCUUCGCUGACGAGUGGCGGACGGGUGAGUAAUGUCUGGGAAACUGCCUGAUGGAGGGGGAUAACUACUGGAAACGGUAGCUAAUACCGCAUAACGUCGCAAGACCAAAGAGGGGGACCUUCGGGCCUCUUGCCAUCGGAUGUGCCCAGAUGGGAUUAGCUAGUAGGUGGGGUAACGGCUCACCUAGGCGACGAUCCCUAGCUGGUCUGAGAGGAUGACCAGCCACACUGGAACUGAGACACGGUCCAGACUCCUACGGGAGGCAGCAGUGGGGAAUAUUGCACAAUGGGCGCAAGCCUGAUGCAGCCAUGCCGCGUGUAUGAAGAAGGCCUUCGGGUUGUAAAGUACUUUCAGCGGGGAGGAAGGGAGUAAAGUUAAUACCUUUGCUCAUUGACGUUACCCGCAGAAGAAGCACCGGCUAACUCCGUGCCAGCAGCCGCGGUAAUACGGAGGGUGCAAGCGUUAAUCGGAAUUACUGGGCGUAAAGCGCACGCAGGCGGUUUGUUAAGUCAGAUGUGAAAUCCCCGGGCUCAACCUGGGAACUGCAUCUGAUACUGGCAAGCUUGAGUCUCGUAGAGGGGGGUAGAAUUCCAGGUGUAGCGGUGAAAUGCGUAGAGAUCUGGAGGAAUACCGGUGGCGAAGGCGGCCCCCUGGACGAAGACUGACGCUCAGGUGCGAAAGCGUGGGGAGCAAACAGGAUUAGAUACCCUGGUAGUCCACGCCGUAAACGAUGUCGACUUGGAGGUUGUGCCCUUGAGGCGUGGCUUCCGGAGCUAACGCGUUAAGUCGACCGCCUGGGGAGUACGGCCGCAAGGUUAAAACUCAAAUGAAUUGACGGGGGCCCGCACAAGCGGUGGAGCAUGUGGUUUAAUCGAUGCAACGCGAAGAACCUUACUGGGCUUGACAUCCACGGAAGUUUUCAGAAAUAAGAAGUGCCUUCGGGAACCGGAGACAGGAGCUGCUUGGCUGUCCUCACCUCCGGUUGGGAAAGGUGGGUUAAUCCCGCACGAACCCAACCCUUUUCCUUUUGUGCCGGGGGCCGCCGGGAAACCAAAGAAAAACGCCCCCGGAUAAAAAUAGAGAAGGGGGGGGGAAGGCCAAUCUUCUUUGGCCCUUUACCCGGGCUCCCCCGGUUAAUGGGCGU